rnacentral:rRNA from 1 species
UACGUAGGGUGCAAGCGUUGUCCGGAAUUAUUGGGCGUAAAGAGCUCGUAGGCGGUUUGUCGCGUCUGCUGUGAAAACUCGGGGCUCAACUCCGAGCUUGCAGUGGGUACGGGCAGACUAGAGUGCGGUAGGGGAGACUGGAAUUCCUGGUGUAGCGGUGGAAUGCGCAGAUAUCAGGAGGAACACCGGUGGCGAAGGCGGGUCUCUGGGCCGUAACUGACGCUGAGGCACGAAGGCCAGGGGAGCAAACGGG